AUUUCUAUUUUAGACAGCCCAAAUCCUCCGAGAACGGAGACAAAAUAGCUCCCGCGAGUCCUUCCACUCAUUCUGAGGGGCUCAGCAAUCACAAACUUCCCCAGGACGUCCUAUCCCGCAUGGAGAACAAAAACAGUCCUUAUCAAGGGCUCUAAAAAGAGCCGGACACGGUGCCGACAAUUUAUGGGGAAAGCCUAGGAUUUUCUGUUUAUUGAAAACACAACAGAAGGGGUGAAAGCAGCUGAUCCGAUCCGCUGUGAGAUUUCAUCAUCCCGUGGCAGCUCGGGGAAGCCAGGCCCGACGCCCCCGGACCGGACCAGGAGGACUUCACCUAUCGGUUGGAGGGGAUGGGUCGAGAGCCGAAAAACAAACAAACAAACAAACAAACAAAAACCCCAAAAAACCCACCACCAUAAGAUGGGGCUCGAUUAAAGAGGCAGCAGAGCCUCUUUGUGCUGUGAGAUGCUACAGGUAAACAUUUCUAUCUGGCAGGAUUGUUUUACCAGUUAAAAUAUAGAAAUAAAAUCAAAGCAUCACCAUCAAACCUGGUUCAGGUCUGUGCCGGCUUCUGUCAAGGCGACGCCUAUGGAAGCUGGGGCUCGCUGCAUCGAGGCAGGAGGUUCUCGAAUAUAUUUUCUUUUUAAAAGGUGUAGGGAAUGGGGGAGGGUGGCAGAGAAUAUUUCUCAGAACACCGGGAGAUACCUUUCUUGAAACAAAGGCAAAGGGGAAUCAUCUCAAUUGCAAAUCCGUCAGGCAGAGAGCAAAUAACAAUAUUUAUAGGAAGGCGUUCGAAAAUACCGUGAGCUUAAAUAACAGCAGCGAACGCUAUCUGCAGUUGCUACAGAGCAGCUUAAUAAAAAAUUAGCCUCACUGACAGUCUUGUCAACAUCUUAAGUAAAUUAUCAUAGCGAUGGUCUUUGGAGAAGAGAACCCACACUCCUCGCUAAAACACCUCCUAUCAUUAAUCUUAAACCACUCGAAGAUUAUGAUGGAAAGAAUGGGAUCAGUAACCAUUAUCAUCUCCAAUUGCUGUUAAAAACUCCGCUGUUUAUUUUUGCAACCAAAGCAAAUGUAACUAGGAAAUGCAGAAAAGGGAAGAAAGGCAAACACUGAGAGGCAGAACAAUUGAGGCGAAUCCUGUUGCAAUCUCGAUGAUAAACACAUGGAAAAGGCUGUGACUGCUCUGCGGAUUGCUGGAAUUUGGGGAGACAUUAAGAAAAUAAACACACCGAUGGCUCCGCACCAGCGGUACAUGCAGUGAAAGGAUUUGGCGGCAGAGAAGGCAGAAUCUGCUGCUUUAGGGGCACUGGACCUGAAAAGCUAUCGACGGUGCUUUACACCUUCAAUGACUCCGCAAAUCGAUGUGAGCCGGGCACACGCCUGAAUCCAAUCAGACUCGGGUUUUUUGAAGGUAUUCCUCGAAAUGCCAAAGUUUACACGAAGCCUUUAAGCAGAGCUGUGCACCCCGGCCGGCCCUCCUCCUUCCCUCCUCCCUGGCAAUAAAAAGAAGAGGCGGCAUCAGGACAGGGCGACGAGAGCUAAAAUCAACCCCACCAUUAUUUUCUCCCGACAGAACCUCAUCUUCCGCGGCGCUUCAUUCCAGCAUCCCCGCUCGGGGCUGCCGCUCCCCUCCGCAGAGCACUGCGCGAGCACUGCGCGGUGCGCAGGUAGCGCGGCGGGAGCCGCAGCCGGAGCGGCGCUGCCCGCUCAGCCUCCGCCGUGGCCCCGCAGUGACCCCGGCCCGAGGCUGCGGGAGGUGAGAGGUGACGCCUCGAGCCGGCGCAGACCUGGCCCUUUUAAAGCCACAGCUAAUCAGUCCUUCAGUAAAUUAAAAUCUAGGAACCGGAGGGGAAGCAAUUUCGUUGUAAAGAAUUACGGGGCGCGCACCGGGAACGAAAGAGCACCGAGGGGAUUACGCUGCUGUCCGCGGCGGAGGGGUUUGUGGCAGGGGAGAGGCUGCGCUGAGAUGGCCUGAGAAAAACCGUGCGCGUCCUACAGCCGCGGCGGGUCCGCACGGUGCGGAGUCCAACGCGCCCGGCCCAAUAACACUCUGUCUCGGGUAGUUGGGAAACUUCAGCCCCAUAAACUGCAAGGCGGGAUGGGGUCCCGGGACGCCGGGCUGCCACCCAGCCAAAGGCUCGGCGCUGCGUUGCAGCACGGGGAGAAAGUAAAGUGGAACAAAUGAUCAAUUUUCCCGUCAAUUAAUUUGUCCUCAGUUUCAAGUUUCUCUUUAAUCUCUCUAAGAAAUAAAGGGAUCGCUGCUGAACGGUGCGUACGUGAGUGCUGGUGCGUCCGUGUGCACGUACACGAGCGGGGAGCGAGCAAACCGGGUAGCCCUCAGACUGCUGGGAAUGGGUAGAGGUCAAUUGCUCCUCUUCAAUUAGGAAAGUUCCCCAUUGUCUUGGCACCCCGUACUUGUUAAUAACUGCGCAGAGUUAGGAGAAGAGGAAUAAAUAUCUGCUGCGAGUAAUCUGCUGUAAUGCAAUUAUUUUACUGGAUUAACGUGCAGUGGCAGUGCAACACGGCCACGAGUGAGAUGCAAAGGGAAAAAUAAAAAAUAAAGCCUGAGGGAGGAAUAUUAGUAUUUCGCGACAUAGAUGCUUCAGUGGAUUGUGGUGAGGAGCACCGAGGUCUGAUAACAGCUCUCUGUUCUACCCAGAUUACACAGAAACUUUUCUUUCCCAUGAGCUCCGGGCAGCAAAACGCUGUUUGAGGAGACCGCGAGCCGCUUUCCGGGCUGCCGCUAUAAUUAAUUUAGGUGUGGCCAUCCCAGAUCCGAGGGAGAAGGAAAUGAUUGAUGCCGCCAGAACCCCCUUCCCUUACGCAGCCCCGAGCAGCUCCCGACGCAGAGGACCAACUGCCUUUCAAGGCUGCAGAAUGUUAAGAGCUGUAGCAGAGUUACACAGCUAGUUGAAUCAACAACUUUCUUUUACGGAUGCAGCAGUGCAAACAAGGGCAGGGACUCAGGGAGACUUUGCAGACAUUAUGUUGUAUAGCCCAAUGGAUCAAACAAACAUUGAUCCAGGUACCUCUGGACAAGAUCGAGCACACAUGACAAAUGCUUCUGACUUCUUUUUAAAUCGAACCUGGAAGGUCAUCGCUGAACAAACAGAAUGCUCUACAACUGUGCCCAUAAAUUGUGAAAGCUAACAAUAAGGGCCAUCAUGCUUCAUGUCAGAAUUUAGCAUGAGUUGAUGGAAUGAAGAAUACUUUUGGAAGCCACUCUGCUUUGCAACAAUCUGGUACAGAACAACAUCUGAACCUGCUCAUUUAUCCUAUCUUUAUUUAUAGAGCAAAUCAUUAGAAGGCCACAGCCUUUCUAGCUCUGUUAUUAUCUAUUCAUCAGAAGCCCUUCUUCUGCUCAUUAGCUACAGAUAUUAGUAUCAUUUUACCUUUUUGUGAAAUGCAUUUAACAUCUUUAUAUGUAACUCUUCACAUAGGAUAAUGGCUUUUUGUUUGCAAGUUAUUCUGAGGCUUAAUGAAUAAAGGAACUGAUAAAAGCUUAUUGCUGUAACCUAUUUCAAUUCUAUGUAAAAACACAAAAUAAGAUGUCUCAUGUAAAUCUGAACUUUUGAAAAUUUAUAAUGGUGGGGGAAAAAAAAGACAGUUAAAGAACAACAUACUUAACCAAGAAGAUUUGCUUGAGACUAAUGUUCGAAAACAUGCACCCAGAUGAUCAAACAUCACAGCUACAGCUGACAUUGGAGUGCUACUGGCAAUUCCAUUGUGGACUAACAGAUUUCACUUGUUGAUGGCAAUACUGUCCUAAAAAGCU